rnacentral:rRNA from 1 species
UGGGGAAUCUUGCACAAUGGGCGCAAGCCUGAUGCAGCAACGCCGCGUGCGGGAAGACGGCCCUAGGGUUGUAAACCGCUUUCAGGAGGGAAGAAAAUGACGGUACCUCCAGAAGAAGGUGCGGCCAACUACGUGCCAGCAGCCGCGUGACACGUAGGCACCAAGCGUUAUCCGGAUUUAUUGGGCGUAAAGAGCUCGUAGGCGGUUCGGUAAGUCGGGUGUGAAAUCCAAGGCUCAACCUUGGGACGCCACCCGAUACUGCUGUGACUUGAGUACGGUAGGGGAGCGGGGAAUUCCUGGUGUAGCGGUGAAAUGCGCAGAUAUCAGGAGGAACACCAGUGGCGAAGGCGCCGCUCUGGGCCGUAACUGACGCUGAGGAGCGAAAGCAUGGGUAGCAAA